rnacentral:rRNA from 1 species
UACGAAGGGGGCUAGCGUUGCUCGGAAUCACUGGGCGUAAAGCGCACGUAGGCGGACUCUUAAGUCAGGGGUGAAAUCCUGGAGCUCAACUCCAGAACUGCCUUUGAUACUGGGAGUCUUGAGUUCGGGAGAGGUGAGUGGAACUGCGAGUGUAGAGGUGAAAUUCGUAGAUAUUCGGAAGAACACCAGUGGCGAAGGCGGCUCACUGGUCCGGUACUGACGCUGAUGUGCGAAAGCGUGGGGAGCGAACAGG